GUGUUAUAAUAGGUGCAAGUUCAGCAAAUGUCAAUUCUGAGUGACUUUAUGUAAGCACCUCGCACCGAGUGGAGUAAGAAUGGUAACGCGUGCUCGCCGGUUUCAAAUUCACAAAACCUGCUAACACCGCGAAGCUGUAGGAAAUUACGGCUGACCAAUAGCGUUUGAGCAAAGCUACAAUCCAACCAAUCAGUAGACAAUAUUCUGAAAAGCCCCACCAACUCGCACUAGCGUCACACAGUCCUCUCCAUCCGGUUAAUUUUUCACAGCCUACUGAGACCACGCCAAGCAAGAUCGUGUCUUUGUAGCACUGCUUUAUCUAAGCAGGAGCUCCAUGUGCACCCUGCAGGCCAGACAGUCAGGUGACGUGGAGGACAGAUGACAGCAACUGACUUCAACUGAAUUACAUAUUUUAAAGAACUCAUAGACUCACAGACUCAUUUCUGAUUCUAAUGCAUACGUACUGUCCGA